AAGUGUUACAGCUCUUUUAGAAUUUGUCUAGCAGGCUUUCCAACUUUUGCCAGAAAGCCCUU
ensembl:snRNA U7 U7 small nuclear RNA